GUGCCCGUAGCUCAGAGGAUAGAGCUGCUCUUUUGCGUAGGGCCGGUCAGGGGUUCGAGUCCCCUCGGGCACGC
rnacentral:tRNA from 1 species